UGUUUCGGCUAGGGGGUCAUCCCGACUUACCAACCCGAUGCAAACUGCGAAUACCGAAGAAUGUUAUCACGGGAGACACACGGCGGGUGCUAACGUCCGUCGUGAAGAGGGAAACAACCCAGACCGCCAGCUAAGGUCCCAAAGUCAUGGUUAAGUGGGAAACGAUGUGGGAAGGCACAGACAGCCAGGAUGUUGGCUUAGAAGCAGCCAUCAUUUAAAGAAAGCGUAAUAGCUCACUGGUCGAGUCGGCCUGCGCGGAAGAUGUAACGGGGCUAAACCAUGCACCGAAGCUGCGGCAGCGACACUAUGUGUUGUUGGGUAGGGGAGCGUUCUGUAAGCCGUUGAAGGUGGCCUGUGAGGGUUGCUGGAGGUAUCAGAAGUGCGAAUGCUGACAUAAGUAACGAUAAUGCGGGUGAAAAACCCGCACGCCGGAAGACCAAGGGUUCCUGUCCAACGUUAAUCGGGGCAGGGUGAGUCGACCCCUAAGGCGAGGCCGAAAGGCGUAGUCGAUGGGAAACAGGUUAAUAUUCCUGUACUUGGUGUUACUGCGAAGGGGGGACGGAGAAGGCUAUGUUAGCCGGGCGACGGUUGUCCCGGUUUAAGCAUGUAGGCGGAGGUUCCAGGUAAAUCCGGUACCUUUUUAACGCUGAGGUGUGAUGACGAGGCACUACGGUGCUGAAGUAACAAAUGCCCUGCUUCCAGGAAAAGCCUCUAAGCAUCAGGUAACACGAAAUCGUACCCCAAACCGACACAGGUGGUCAGGUAGAGAAUACCAAGGCGCUUGAGAGAACUCGGGUGAAGGAACUAGGCAAAAUGGUGCCGUAACUUCGGGAGAAGGCACGCUGAUAUGUAGGUGAAGUGAUUUACUCAUGGAGCUGAAAUCAGUCGAAGAUACCAGCUGGCUGCAACUGUUUAUUAAAAACACAGCACUGUGCAAACACGAAAGUGGACGUAUACGGUGUGACGCCUGCCCGGUGCCGGAAGGUUAAUUGAUGGGGUUAUCCGUAAGGAGAAGCUCUUGAUCGAAGCCCCGGUAAACGGCGGCCGUAACUAUAACGGUCCUAAGGUAGCGAAAUUCCUUGUCGGGUAAGUUCCGACCUGCACGAAUGGCGUAAUGAUGGCCAGGCUGUCUCCACCCGAGACUCAGUGAAAUUGAACUCGCUGUGAAGAUGCAGUGUACCCGCGGCAAGACGGAAAGACCCCGUGAACCUUUACUAUAGCUUGACACUGAACACUGGUCCUUGAUGUGUAGGAUAGGUGGGAGGCUUUGAAGUGUGGACGCCAGUCUGCAUGGAGCCAUCCUUGAAAUACCACCCUUUAAUGGCUGGUGUUCUAACGUGGACCCGUUACCCGGGUUGCGGACAGUGUCUGGUGGGUAGUUUGACUGGGGCGGUCUCCUCCUAAAGAGUAACGGAGGAGCACGAAGGUUAGCUAAUCCUGGUCGGACAUCAGGAGGUUAGUGCAAAGGCAUAAGCUAGCUUGACUGCGAGAGUGACGGCUCGAGCAGGUGCGAAAGCAGGUCUUAGUGAUCCGGUGGUUCUGAAUGGAAGGGCCAUCGCUCAACGGAUAAAAGGUACUCCG
rnacentral:rRNA from 1 species